rnacentral:rRNA from 1 species
AACUUUCAGCAACGGAUCUCUUGGCUCUCGCAUCGAUGAAGAACGCAGCGAAAUGCGAUAAGUAAUGUGAAUUGCAGAAUUCAGUGAAUCAUCGAAUCUUUGAACGCACCUUGCGCUCUUUGGUAUUCCGAAGAGCAUGCCUGUUUGAGUGUCA